rnacentral:rRNA from 1 species
AUGGCGACACUGGAUCUGGCAUCUCCGGGGUCCUCUACAAGUGGGUCAACUACGGCCGCGGGUGGCGGCCCCGCUGGUUCGCGCUCAGCGACGGCGUGCUCUCCUACUACAAGAUCCACGGGCCCGACUGCAUCGACCUCUCCGCGACACCGACCGCGGCGCCAAGGUCAUCGGCGAGGACUCGCUCCGCCCCCUUGCGCGCCCCUCCUCCGCCUCCGCCCCCCACUCCAACGGCCACGGCCACCACCAGACGCCCCGCAAGCCCCUCGGCGAAAUCCACCUCAAGGUGUCGACCGUCAGAGAGAGCAGAUCGGACGACAGGAGGUUCUCCAUCUUCUCGGGGACCAAGAGGCUGCACCUGCGGGCCGAGACGAGGGAGGACAGGGCCGCGUGGCUCGAGGCGCUCCGUGCCACCAAGGAGAUGUUCCCGAGGAUGUCCACCAGCGAGAUGGUCGGGCCGGGGGACACUGCGGCGGCCGCGGCGGUCUCCACCGAGCGCCUGAAGAAGCGCCUGCAGCAGGAAGGGGUCAGCGAUGCUGCCAUUGCUGA